GAGGAGUGGUCUAUUCCUAGCCCUUAAGAGGAGGGCGCUCACGCGCCGUCUUUCUCUGCGGCCAUCAUGGGAUCGUGCUCUUCUCGCUCGUUGAGCUGGUCCCUUCGCCGUGGCCUGCUGGUGACGGUCUGGAGCGAUGCUGAGCCCGGGCCCAGCCUCUCAGCUCCGCCUUGUGCGCUGCACAGAUCUAGGGGAGCCUGACGGGACGUUGACAACGUGGAAUAGGAGCAGUAUCAUCCCACCAUGAGGUUGGGGAUUUAAGAGUGGAAGAUUGCCAACAGCUGUGGCCUCCCAUGAGGGUGUCCCCUUUCAAGUUCUCAGAACGGACGCAGGACUGCAGAUCUGUGCUGGCAGCAGCAGAGGCUAUAUUCCCAGAGGAGUCUCCAGCCGGCCUGAAAGCAAAUAUCCUAAGUGACAUGUCUGCCAAUUUUGUUCUGGGUGGGCACAUUUGGUAAUCCUGUCUGUACCACAGGAUCUUCUAUGCCUUUUAAAAAUAAACAUUUGUUUAUAAACCAGAUUGCCAGUGUUUUGGAUGAAUUAAGUUGUGUGUACAGCUAACCAUCAAAGCACUCUAAUAAAGCACAGUCCGUAUUGGUCCUUGAAAACA
rnacentral:lncRNA from 1 species